UGCAAGGCUGCCAAAAACACUAGAUAAAGUUGCCAAGAAAUAUUUCAAACACAAAGAGUCUCCAAACACAAAGUAAGAGAGUCCGAACAUCAACAAGGCUUGAGUGCAAAAACUUCUUUGCUUCCUGCAAAGAACUUCCUGGAAAGACCUCCAA